GUCCUACGGGGGGCAGCAGUGGGGAAUAUUGCACAAUGGGGGAAACCCUGAUGCAGCGACGCCGCGUGAGUGAAGAAGUAUUUCGGUACGUAAAGCUCUAUCAGCAGGGAAGAAAAACCGGCCUUAGGGCCGCCAGACGGUACCUGACUAAGAAGCCCCGGCUAACUACGUGCCAGCAGCCGCGGUAAUACGUAGGGGGCAAGCGUUAUCCGGAUUUACUGGGUGUAAAGGGAGCGUAGGUGGCAUGGUAAGCCAGAAGUGAAAACCCAGGGCUCAACUCUGUGGAUUGCUUUUGGAACUAUCAA
rnacentral:rRNA from 1 species